ACAAGUGAGUAUUAUUGGUUUAAACAGUUGUUUAUAUUUUUAGGGUUAAAAUAUAAAUUUGUAAGGUGAAAUGUUAAAAUUUAUUUAUAGCUCUUUUUAUGAAUCUGUGAAAUUUAAAUAAUAAACUAGGAUUAGAUACCCUAUUAUUUUAAAUGUUAAUUAUAUUUACCAGGGUACUAUUAGUUAAGGUCUUUAAACCCAAAGAAUUUGGCGGUAUCUCAUUCCAUUCAGAGGAACCUACCCCGUGAUUGAUAAUACACGAUUUACUCUACUUGAUUUAUUUGUUUGUAUAUCUCCGUUAUCAGAGAAUCUUUUUAGAGUUAUAAUUCUCAAGAUUUAUAAUUAUAAAAUAUUUCA